rnacentral:rRNA from 1 species
AUGCAAGACCCAGUUACAGUGGCCAGUGGGCAGACUUAUGAUCGAGGCAGCAUAAUGAGAUGGUUGGACUCGGGGCACGACACCUGUCCGAGGACGCAGCAGAAGCUUGCCAAUAAAUCUUUGAUUCCAAAUCAUAACCUACGCAGCCUGAUAGCCAAAUGGUGUGAAGCAAACGGUUUGGAGCAGCCGAAACGCUCUGGUCAAGUCAGUAGUAAUGCAACAGCAGAAUCACAACUUACCGCUUAUGAGCAGGCACAAGUUGUUAACGAGCUUCUUAAAGAACUAUCGUCACAAAAUGUGGUACACCAACGGGGAGCUGCUGGCAUGCUUCGUCAGCUUGCGAAGCACAGUCCUGAAUAUCGCGCGUCUAUAGGCGAUUCCGGCGGCAUUCCUUUCCUCGUGAGUAUGCUAGCGACAGAUGAUGUUAGCACCCAGGAAGAUGUUGUCGCUACUCUCCUGAAUGUCUCCAUUGCGGACGAGAACAAGAUAAGAUUGGUCCGGUCCGGCGCUAUUCCUGCAAUUGUAUAUGUGCUAGAGAGUGGCAGCAUGGUGGCCCGGGAGAAUGCUGCUGCAGCGCUGUUCAGCCUAUCAAAAUUGGAAGAAAACAGGGUUAUUAUUGGGGCUGCAGGAUCGAUUCCACCUCUCAUACUACUGUUGCGUACUGGGAGUCGACCGGGUAAAAAGCAUGCUGCGGAAGCAUUAUUUUAUGUGUGUAACUGUCAGGGCAACAAGAACAAGAGCAUAGCUAUUAGAGCUGGGUUGGUCCCUAUACUGCUAGAGCUUCUAGUGUGGACUGAAAAUGGACUGGUUGAUGUGGCCGUCUCUAUAUUGGAUGUUCUUUCCAGUCACCCUGAGGGGAGGGCAGCUAUCAGUGCUGCCGCUGCCAUACCAAGCCUGGUUGCAGUUAUCAGGAAUGAAUCCCCAAGGAACAAGGAAAAUGCAGCUGCUAUUCUGGUGCAUCUCUGUAAUGGCAGAGGCGCACAGCAGCAACAGUCUCGUAUUGAAGCACAGGAGCAUGGCCUCGUGUGA